CAGAGGGGGCAAGCGUUGUUCGGAAUUACUGGGCGUAAAGGGCGCGUAGGCGGCCUGCUAAGUCGAACGUGAAAUCCCUGGGCUCAACCCAGGAACUGCGUCCGAUACUGGUUGGCUUGAAUCCGGGAGAGGGAUGUGGAAUUCCAGGUGUAGCGGUGAAAUGCGUAGAUAUCUGGGGGAACACCGGUGGCGAAGGCGACAUCCUGGACCGGUAUUGACGCUGAGGCGCGAAAGCCAGGGGAGCAAACGGGAUUAGAUACCCCGGUAGUCCUGGCCCUAAACGAUGAAUGCUUGGUGUGGUGGGUAUCGAUCCCUACCGUGCCGAAGCUAACGCAUUAAGCAUUCCGCCUGGGGAGUACGGUCGCAAGGCUG
rnacentral:rRNA from 1 species